GACGGGGCCCGGCACAAGCGGUGGAGUAUGUGGUUAAUUCGAUGCAACGCGAAGAACCUUACCUGGUCUUGACAUCCCGGAGACCCUUAGGAAACUAGGGGUGCUUCCAUCUGGAAGAAUCUGGAGACAGGUGCUGCAUGGCUGUCGUCAGCUCGUGUCGUGAGAUGUUGGGUUAAGUCCCGCAACGAGCGCAACCCUUGCCUUUAGUUGCCAGCAGUUCGGCUGGGCACUCUAAAGGGACUGCCGGUGUUAAACCGGAGGAAGGUGGGGAUGACGUCAAGUCCUCAUGGCCUUUAUGACCAGGGCUACACACGUACUACAAUGGCCGAUACAAAGGGCAGCGACACUGCGAGGUGAAGCCAAUCCCGUAAAAUCGGUCUCAGUCCGGAUUGGAGUCUGCAACUCGACUCCAUGAAGUUGGAAUCGCUAGUAAUCGUGGAUCAGCAUGCCACGGUGAAUACGUUCCCGGGCCUU
rnacentral:rRNA from 1 species